rnacentral:rRNA from 1 species
AUUGAACGCUGGCGGCAAGCCUAACACAUGCAAGUCGAACGAGUGGCGGACGGGUGAGUAAUGUCUGGGAAACUGCAUGAUGGAGGGGGAUAACUACUGGAAACGGUAGCUAAUACCGCAUACCAUCGGAUGUGCCCAGAUGGGUUUAGCUAGUCGGUGGGGUAAAGGCCCACCUAGGCGACGACCCCUAGCUGGUCUGAGAGGAUGACCAGCCACACUGGAACUGAGACACGGUCCAGACUCCUACGGGAGGCAGCAGUGGGGAAUAUGGCACAAUGGGCGAAAGCCUGAUGCAGCCAUGCCGCGUGUAUGAAGAAGGCCUUCGGGUUGUAAAGUACUUUCAGCGGGGAGGCGUUACCCGCAGAAGAAGCACCGGCUAACUCCGUGCCAGCCGCCGCGGUAAUAC